UACGGGGGGGGCAAGCGUUGUUCGGAAUUACUGGGCGUAAAGGGCGCGUAGGCGGCUCAAUCAGUCGGGCGUGAAAGCUCUGGGCUUAACCCAGAAAGGUCGUUCGAUACUGUUGGGCUAGAGUGUGGAAGAGGCUACUGGAAUUCCGUGUGUAGCGGUGAAAUGCGUAGAUAUACGGAGGAACACCUGCGGCGAAGGCGGUAGCUGGGCCAACACUGACGCUGAUGCGCGAAGCUAGGGAGCAACGG
rnacentral:rRNA from 1 species